UGAAACUAAACAGAAAUAAGUUUAAGGGUUUGGUGAUAAUUGGGGGGGGGGAAAGGGUUGGAGGGUUAUCAUGUUGUUUUACCCUCAGUAAAUCCCAACAUGCUAAAUUCCAAUCAGUGAUACAGUCUUAACAGGCUUUGCCGAGGGAAAAAAACUUGGGAAAAGUCAGUGGAAAAUAAGUCUGCUCACAUGGAAUGUCUAUUCGGGAGACCAGAUACAGCAGUGAGAGAGUACUCCUCAAUCAUCGUUACCUUGAUACAAGUCACAAUAUCCUCAUGGCUGAUGGUGGAUCUGACGUUGUCUCCAGUAUUGACAUCCCAUAAUUCAACCUUACCACCCUCUAAAAAAGAACAUGUUUGUUAGUCAUUUGAUGAUGGCAACAGCAGCAGCAGCAACAGCAACAACCACAAA